rnacentral:rRNA from 1 species
GGGCCUACGGGGCGCAGCAGUGAGGAAUAUUGGUCAAUGGUCGGGAGACUGAACCAGCCAAGCCGCGUGAGGGAGGAAGGUACAGAGUAUCGUAAACCUCUUUUGUCAGGGAACAAAGACUGGGACGCGUCCCCGGAUGAGUGUACCUGAAGAAAAAGCAUCGGCUAACUCCGUGCCAGCAGCCGCGGUAAUACGGAGGAUGCGAGCGUUAUCCGGAUUUAUUGGGUUUAAAGGGUGCGUAGGCGGACUGUCAAGUCAGCGGUAAAAUACGGGGGCUCAACCUCCGCCCGCCGUUGAAACUGACG